GUGAAGCCGACAUUCUUUUCUAGGGUUUCUUGCCUGCUGCAAAAUCCCGGGAGACUUAACCGCUAAUGGAGCUUCUGAGAUUCCCAUAGAGACGAUCCUUCGUCCGUAAUCGGUGCAUCUAUGACUGCUCACGAUGUCGAUUCUUCUCCUCACAAGCGUUACAAGCCGCAUUGAUUUAACGUCAUUAAGGAGAUCUUAACUCUUACGACCCACUGCAACCACGACCACUCAAUCAAUGAUUCUUAUCCCUCUUCCAAUCGGUGUAUCUACACCUAUAAAAAGGAAAAUUGCCGGCCAGCUGGAAUAUGCUUUGACAGAGUACAUAUCUCACUCCUCCACCGUAUAAGAGCAUAACGGCCUCUCCGGGUCUGCUUUUUCCCUAAGAGGAAGUAUAUCAGCAAGUGCAGAAGAAAAGGAAAGCAGAGGCAUGAUGGGUAAUACGAUCGAAUAAGAGCUACGUCACCGUUGAAGAUCUGAAGAGAAUUCUCAUAGACGCAGCUUCAGCGGCGGAAGGAAAUCACUUGGUCGCUGAGGAGGGAGGCCAUCACUUGGCGGUGGUGGUGGUCGGCGUUGGUUUGUGUAACGGGUGCGUGGACCUCAUGUCAAGUUCUCCAAUGACACCGAGCGGCUUCAGUUUAUCAGCAUCAUAGUAAAAAGGUCGUCUUGGUGCUCAUAUCAAACGUGUCAUUGGACUCUUAUAUGAGACAAGGCAAACCUUUACACCAGAGCAAAUAAACCAAAACUGUUAUGUUAUUAUGCUUGCCAACAAGGCUGUUUUUGAUAGUUUGAUGAACAAUGCCAAAGUGUACUAUAUGAGAGGAGGUUCUCUUACAAGGUCGAGGUUGAUGAUGAGUUCAAAUCUAUGCUCCAAGACAUAGACAUCCCGAGUAACCUGCUUGACGUGGAGAAGGAGCUGUUUAAGAUUUGUCUGUAGCCACUGAUGGACACUUCGCAGAGGAGAGAUGCUGCACAGAUUCAAUGUGAGCAGAAUAACCAACAGCAAAGAGCUGAUAAUGUUUGCUUGUGCAGUCACUUCAUAAGUUCAAGUACUUAGAGAUCAGAGAUGAGACCAUGGAAGCAAAAGAAAAUGCACAAGUGACACUCUUUACACUUUCGCUACCCGAGGAGAACAAGAUCAUAAUAGGCGGUGCCAUACUUGCCUAACUGGAGCUUCUCGAGAAUGGGUUCCCAAAAGGGAAGAAAGAUGCAGUGACAGCAUUGUUUGAUCUAUUGAUCAGGGAAACAUAGUUAGAGCGAUUAAAGCUAAUAUAGCUGCUGCAUUGGUAAAGAUGCCUAUGACAGAUUCCGAAAUUAGUGAUGAGAUUAUUAAAGAUGUUUUGUGAUUGUUAGAAAGUUUCUUCAAGCCCGAAGCGAUGUGUCAUAUUAGUCUUAUGGUUGUUUUGUGGUUUUUGUUUUUCUAUGCCACAAAAAGUUAAAUCUUA